rnacentral:rRNA from 1 species
UGGUGGAGUGAUUUGUCUGGUUAAUUCCGAUAACGAACGAGACCUUGACCUGCUAAAUAGACGGGUUGACAUUUUGUUGGCCCCAUACGUCUUCUUAGAGGGACAAUCGAACGUCUAGUUGAUGGAGGCAAAAGGCAAUAACA